rnacentral:misc_RNA from 1 species
GAACGCAUAUUGCGCCCUCUGGUAUUCCGGGGGGCAUGCCUGUCCGAGCGUCAUUACUAUCUUCAAGCUCUGCUUGGUGUUGGGCGUCUGUCCUGCCUCACGGCGCGGACUCGCCUCAAAUCUAUUGGCGGCCGGCACGUUGGCUUCGAGCGCAGCAGAAACGCGAACUCGGGCCCGACGGAUCGGCUCCCAGAAGCUACCCCCAUGAAUUUGACCUCGGAUCAGGUAGGGAUACCCGCUGAACUUAAG